ACACUCCUGCGGGAGGCAGCAGUGGGGAAUUUUGGACAAUGGGCGAAAGCCUGAUCCAGCAAUGCCGCGUGAGUGAAGAAGGCCUUCGGGUUGUAAAGCUCUUUUGUCAGGGAAGAAACGGUGAAAGCUAAUAUCUUUUGCUAAUGACGGUACCUGAAGAAUAAGCACCGGCUAACUACGUGCCAGCAGCCGCGGUAAUACGUAGGGUGCAAGCGUUAAUCGGAAUUACUGGGCGUAAAGCGGGCGCAGGCGGUUUUGUAAGUCUGAUGUGAAAUCCCCGGGCUCAACAUGGGAAUUGCAUGGGAGAGUGCAAGGAUAGAAUCUGGCAGAGGGGGGUAGGAUUCCACGUGGAGCAGUGAAAUGCGUAGAUAUGUGGAGGAACACCGAUGGCGAAGGCAGCCCCCUGGGUCAAGAUUGACGCUCAUGCACGAAAGCGUGGGGAGCAAACAGGAUUAGAUACCCCAGUAGUCCCAUGA
rnacentral:rRNA from 1 species